UACGUAGGGGGCAAGCGUUAUCCGGAUUUACUGGGUGUAAAGGGGGCGCAGACGGCGAUGCAAGCCAGGAGUGAAAGCCCGGGGCCCAACCCCGGGACUGCUCUUGGAACUGCGUGGCUGGAGUGCAGGAGGGGCAGGCGGAAUUCCUGGUGUAGCGGUGAAAUGCGUAGAUAUCAGGAGGAACACCGGUGGCGAAGGCGGCCUGCUGGACUGCAACUAACGUUGAGGCCCGAAAGCGUGGGGAGCAAACAGG
rnacentral:rRNA from 1 species